UAGCAGAUGGAUUUCUACUACAAUAUUUUAUAAAAAAUAUCCAUUAAUUUUAAUCCUAUCCCAAGAAAAAUAUCAAUUUUUCUAAUUUAUUUUGUCAGUUUAAAUAUCUUUAAAAUUUCCUAAGCCGCUCCUGUUCGAAAUAUUUCAGAAUAUUUUCGCAACAAAGUAAAAUCAUAGGAAAGUUCCUAUUUAUUUGAGUAGCAUUUACCAACUACGUAGAUAGUUAUUGUGAAAUCAUUCAUUAUUCGAGAAUGAGUCCUCUAAAAGGUUUGGUGUUUUUCCUUUAAGUUUUGAGCGAUAAAAAUCCCAUGUUAUUAUUGGUCUGCAUUUUGAAAGAUCCUUGAGUUGUAGUUGACGAUUGGUCAAUAGUUUUGGCCGAACGAUCGAGAAGAAAUGCAUCGUUGGGACGCGAGAGAGACGUGACGAUGUAAAGCUAGUUCUAAAAGUACAUCACUUCAGUAAACAUCUUUUUGUUAGAACUCAACCAACAGACUCGUAGAAAGUCGCACUUUGCCGGCAAAAUGGUUUUAUUUUUAUGGUAAAAGAAGUGAAAGACUGGCAGUUUGCCCAGUAAAUGUCAACGAAUAUAAUGACAAUAGUUUCACGGCAUUUUAAUGGAUAUAUUAUUGUGAAAUAGUUCUAUUGUUAUGCAGUUUGAUUUGCCGGUAAAAGAAGUGCGUGGUUUCCUGGUUCCUGUCCUUUAUGUAGCUGUUGCUAUUUUUAUGAUGUUUUGGAUUUGUUCAUGUUCCAGUAAGAAAUGCCCGGAUGAUAUUAUUUGGUAUCGAUUUUAUCCAGUUUUGUAAUGAUUUGGAUUUGAAUGUCUUCCCUCCCUCCAAUCCUGAAUGGAAAAUUUUGAAGUUCCAAGUGUUGUGACAUGGAUUUUUGUUUUAACAAGGUAUGAUAAUGUUUAUUUUAAAUAAUUCACAAGUGGAUAUUAAUGGUAAAGGUUUUACAUAAUUAAAUAUGUUGUUUUCAACAUGGAUUCUCUAAAAAUUUUAUUGUAAAGUAAAUAAUAAAUGACAGUGACUUUUGACAGCCAUGUCAAAUUUUUGUUUUGGUACACUGCUAAAAAUAAGGUUAAAAAUUGUAAAAUCAUGUAUUUUGUUAUUAUUAUUCAUUUCUGGUUUGAGAAUGUGUCUAUUCUCAAUAAAAAUAAAAAGGUAUUAAGGUUUAAAUAAACAUUAUAAAAUGUACACAUCUUUAUUUCUGUAACCUCUUUAAUUUAAAAAAAUUAUUAACAGAUAUCUAAUACAAGUGAAUAAGUUUUAGAACAGAAGAAAAUAUAAUGGCAUAGAAGCCAAAUGAUGAUAAUUUGUAGCCCACUAUAACCCCAACGAGGAAUCUACGAUGAAUGUCCCCCAGUUGCUUUCCAGUAAGUACUCGAUAUGAGAAUUGAGGAUUUUUCGAACGGCGUCCCAAUUUGUUUAAAUAGUAGGAAAGUCCUCAAGUCUGUGUAAGUAUCCUUUGCUUUAUUUGCUUAUUAGAUUUUGUAGUCAUUACUUCAUUAAACCCUAUUAAAAAUACAGGUAGUUGUUGGAAAAACGCUACAAAUAGCGCCCUGUACGUGGGGCUCGAUCCAUUUUUAGCCCCCCUGAUCCCAUUAGCAUGUGCCCAAUACCAUGUCCUUUUAGCCUCCUUUCGGUCUCAUUUGUACUACAACUGUUAGGCAGUGCCCGUCUUGGGCAGCCGAUCUCAGUUUGUGGUGCAGGUGUUUCCGACAACAUGGAAGCUCGACUCUUGUCAUGUUUUGUAUGCCCAUUGUUACAAGUCUAGCUUGUAGACAUGUUCAACUAGUAGUUAGCCUAUCUACUAGUCCCCAAUGUCUUUAGCCACCCCCCACUUAGUGUUACACUUUUAAUACUUGUAACGUACACCCUGAAGUUUGACCCGAGUAAAUAUCACCCUAGUCUUUCCAAAUAGUUUUGCCCAGAUUCCUCUUGUCUUGUCCCUAGAAACUGUUUCAAGUCUUUUAGUGCCCCCGAAACUGUUUCAGUCUUUUAGUUCCCACAAAAGAGCCCAUUUUUAUAAAUUUUGUUCACGAAUGUUAAUAAUUUUUCCAAAGAGGUGUAAGUAUGUACACAUUUUGUUGUGGUGUUGAUUUGGUCAUGCUGCUGAUUGUAUAGGCAUGUACCAUUUCAUACAUAAUAGUGUAUUUAACUUGUAACCCCAUAUUAUGUAAACCGUAGUAUACUGGUAUUGUAUUUUAUGUAUCGUACAACAGAAUAGUAUGUUAAAAAUUGUGACGUACUUACUAUAUUGUAUUGAUAUUGUACCCAUGAUGAAAGCAUUGGUUAAAUUUUUUGGAAAAUAUUUAUGAAAUAUAUAGACAAACAGUUGAGUAAAAAUAAAGUAAAAAAUUUUUUUAGAAAAUUUUGGUAAAAAAAGUAACGUUAAAAUUUUUUAAAAUUUUGCUAAAAGUUACAAUUAAAAUGUUUAGAAUAUUGAAUCCACUUAUAGAGUAUAACAAUAUGUUAUAUUUUUUUGCAUGUAUUCUUGUAGAUCAUCAGUUUUUUACAGAAUAAACGUUUUUUGUGAUUAUUGAUUUGGUCGUUUGAGUAGAUGUGUGAUAAUAGUUGGUAUGGUCCGUGUAUGAGCUAAUUCGGUAUGGUCUGUGUGAGUAAGUCCCGUGAUUUUCCAGCGAAGCCUAUCUAUAUUGGGUAUAUUAUUGCCACAGGUUAGUUGGAGAAGUCAUCCUUGAAGAAGUAACCCCAUGAAGAAGUGAAGAGGGAAACCGUGGCGAGGCCCCUCCACUUAUUAAUGAAGAAGUAGACCCCUUGUUUUUUCAAGCAGCCAGGAGAAAAGCUAUCACUUUUUGAUUUGAAGAUAGCGUACUCUGUCGACACUGUUUUGAAAAAAACCCUUGAUAUAUGGAUUUGUUCAUGUUAGAAGUGAAAAAAAAGUUACCCCAUGAAAAAGUGAAGAGGGAAACCGUGGCGAGGCCCCUCCACUUAUUGAUUAAAAAUGAUGUAUGUUUUCUUGUAUCUGGCAUAUCACAAGUGUAAUACUCGUGAUGAGGAAGUGUUGUUCAGUUGUCUGAGAAUACUCCCAUUAAUAGUCGGAGCAAGAACGGUUUUAUUUGUGUAAGCUCAUAUAAGAACCAAGUUUCAAUAUUAUUUGUGUUUGUAAGCCCAUGUAUAUGGAGUAUGACUAAGAACCAAGUUUCGAUAUUAUUUGUGUUUGUAAGCCCAUGUAUAUGAAGUAUGGAGAAUGUAUAAAUGCCCUAUGAGUCUUUUGUUCCCUGUUUGUUUGUCUAUCCCUUUUUUGUCUGGAAAUUCUAGAGUCUGUUAUCCCGUAAUGUCUGUUAGCCCAUGUCCCUGAUGGAGUUUGAUUUUUUUUGGCGAAUAGUUCGUUGACCUCUCUUGUGUUUGUUUAUUGAAAGUAGGCUAAGAGCAGAAGCUGUGACAAGGCUGGUGAGCUUAGGAUCUGGCCGCGUUGAGUACAGGUGAAGCUUGCUUUCGGUGGAUAAAUGGAAGUGGUCGUUCGUCGGAAUUGUCAUUCUUUCCAAUGUCCCUUUGGUCUUUCCCUUGUGUGUUUGCUUUCAUCCCUGUUUUGAAAAAGUAGUCUAACCCCAGUUUGGAAGAGUGAAGUCUACUCAUGUUUUGGAAAAAUAAAGUCUACCCAUUGUUUUGGAAAAGUAAGAUCUACUCAUGUUUUGGAAAAGUAAGAUCAUAUCCCC